rnacentral:rRNA from 1 species
UAGGGAAUCUUCGGCAAUGGACGAAAGUCUGACCGAGCAACGCCGCGUGAGUGAAGAAGGUUUUCGGAUCGUAAAACUCUGUUGUUAGAGAAGAACAAGGACGUUAGUAACUGAACGUCCCCUGACGGUAUCUAACCAGAAAGCCACGGCUAACUACGUGCCAGCAGCCGCGGUAAUACGUAGGUGGCAAGCGUUGUCCGGAUUUAUUGGGCGUAAAGCGAGCGCAGGCGGUUUCUUAAGUCUGAUGUGAAAGCCCCCGGCUCAACCGGAGAGGGUCAUUGGAAUCUGGGAGGCGUGAGUGCAGAAGAGGAGAGUGGAAUUCCAUGUGUAGCGGGGAAAUGCGUAGGUAUAUGGAGGAACGCCAGUGGCGAAGGCGGCUCGCUGGUCUGUAACUGACGCUGAGGCUCGAAAGCGUGGGGAGCAAACAGG